GGUACCUGCACACGUUGCGGAGCAACGAUGGUAAAAGA
rfam:Caloramator australicus RC3, WGS project CAKP01000000 data, contig: 52